CUUAAUUUUUCCGGGAACCAAACAUUGCCUAAAAGAUUUUUUCACUACACUUCAUGAACCAUAUCAAAGUGUUGAUUACAUUCAUACUUGCACUAUUAAAUUAUAGGUUUAGGUGUGUUAUUUGCCAUUUCAUAGGGCAUUUUAACUUUGAAUGCACCUCAGUUCAAAACACUUCUUGAUUAAAGAAAAAUUGCACUUUGGAGAAGCAAAUUCUGUUCUUUCAAUCCAAUUUCAGUGAUGAGAUGGCAAUUUUCUCUCUGAAUUAAACUUUCAUAAAUUAAUUCAUGAUACUUAUGUUAAAACUUUUGGAUUUCCCUUCUCUAUCCAUAUAUUCUAGGCUUUCUUAUUGUUAUUAAUUAAAAAAAAAAAAAAUCCCUGUGAAGCAUGGGUUGACAAGAAAAUAAAAUUAUGAAUAGUUAAGGUCAUUCUUACGAAUUUUAAAGAAAUGCAGCACAGAGAAAUUUUGCAUAUCAUGUCCCAAUGGAUCUAAAGAUUGGUAAAUAUAUUAAAAAAAUGAAUUUAUAGAAUACUAGAUAUUUUUUAUGGAUCGAUUUUUUUUUUUUAUAGUAUUAGGCAUCAAUAUUUUUUUUUUCAAAAAUAAAAAUUCCCGAGCAAAUUGAACUCUAAAUACAUUUAAAAAGUGAACCAAUUCCAAGUCAAUGGGAGGAAGUUUACAUAUUGCAGGAAAAUGAAAUUUGGUAUUAAAACAAUCAUACUGAAGUUUAUUGGCUAUGCCAUGCAAUGAACCCUAGUUAAUUAGUCUGUGUCUCCAUGAAUUAGUGCCUGAUUAAUAAUCAGCUACAGCUGGGUUUCAUCAGAUAAUACAUGAGUGAGAAAGUGAUCAAUUUGUUAUACCGAACCCCUAGCUGAACAAUAUACAAUCUUAUUCAUAAUUGUGAAGGCUAAGCUUUCUUGAUUAUGCUGAUAGUCAAAAUUUCAUUCCUGCAUUUUUUUGUAUCAGUGCUGAAGGAUCCUGAUAUAAAUCAGUCCUUUUUUCUCUCUCCCUUUUUUCCCUGUCUUUUUAGGUGUCUAGUUUAUGCUUGUGUUCAUUUGUAUUCAUCAACUCUUGUUUUUAUUAUUGACUUCUAAAACCUUGAUGUUUUUUCUUUCCAUUGUAAUUCCAGUACUGAAUUCUCUAGAAUAUUUAUGCUUGCAGGAUGAGGACCUGAGCAACCAAGUACCUCAUUUUCUAAUUUUAUUUCCAGAUUUUUGUUGAUUUUCCAUCUUGUCUUUGAUUCUAGUUUUCUAGAAUAUUUAUGCUUGCAGGAUGAGGACCUGAGCAACCAAGUACCUCAUUUUCUAAUUUUAUUUCCAGAUUUUUGUUUAUUUUCCAUCUUGUCUUUGAUUCUAGUUUCCCCACCCCCCAAAUUUUACAGAAUUUUAAAGCUUAUUUUCUUUUCAUGGUGCACUGGACAGGCGGUCAAAGAGACCAAACAUGUAACUGCAUGAUACACAUUGAAGUUGAUUCCCAUCUCCAAACUUGACUUUCUACUUUUGGCUUCUUGUUAUUUGGAGUAGUGACAAUGCAGUCUCAAUUUUGAUUCAAAUAGCCUUUGCUAUAAUCUCACAAUGACCAAAGACCACAAACUCACUCUUUUAAACCUCAUCCUAUCAUUGUCUUUUCACCAUUUGCAUCAGCUAAGCAGCUUAGCACAUUUGCAUGCCAAGCCAAACCUGGCCAAAAUAUUACGAGACCGUUGGAUUGGCUACUUGUCAAGUAAAAUGCAUCCUUAUAUGUGUAGCUGUACUUCAAUGAUGGUGCUAUAUAUAGGAUGGUGUAAUUGGUGGUUUAAGUAAUAUAGGAAACACAUUUCUAAGUGUAAAGAACUAGGACAUUUCACUUUCUGUUUUCUUUUCUUCUAUUUAUUGUUGUCUUCUGCAAUCCCAUCAAGCAUUUGAAUUUAAAUUUACAUUUUGAGUUCCGACCCUAAUCCUUGCUCUCUCCC
rnacentral:lncRNA from 1 species